rnacentral:rRNA from 1 species
UACGAAGGGGGCUAGCGUUGUUCGGAAUUACUGGGCGUAAAGCGCGCGCAGGCGGUUCUUCAAGUCAGUGGUGAAAGCCCGGAGCUCAACUCCGGAACUGCCAUUGAAACUGUAGAACUCGAGAAUGAGAGAGGUGAGUGGAAUUCCCAGUGUAGAGGUGAAAUUCGUAGAUAUUGGGAAGAACACCGGUGGCGAAGGCGGCUCACUGGCUCAUUACUGACGCUCAUGCGCGACAGCGUGGGGAUCAAACAGG